AAGGCCAUGACUGUGCUCCGCGUGCUGCUCCGCCAGGCAGACAGGCAGAAGGUGGCCCCCACUGCCCUGCGGCUGCCUGAGCUACUGCUGCCCUUCUUCCACGAGUCCGGCUGCACGAGGGAGCUGUCCAUCCUUCUCUGUAAGGAUGCCAUGGAGGUUGCAGGGGACACCCAGAGAGGGAAGAUGAAGAAGGAAGCACGGAACAUCGUCCUCCCUCUCUUCAUCCACCUGCAUGACCAGGACCAGAGCGUGGCUCAGGCCUCCUGGGAAGCCCUUCUUUGCGCAGCCAAGCUGCUGAAGCGCAAGCGCCUCAGCUGGUGGGCCACGGCGGCAGAGUGGAGCAGUUCCUGGAGCAGAGCCUGUCCUACCUGUGGAGCCCCCAGGAGCCCCUGCAAGAGGCGGCCAUCAGGUUCAUUGGGCUUGCCGGGCAGCACUUGAGAGAUGGGCGUGAGGAGAAGCUGGACAACAUCAUCGAGGCCCUGAGGAGUUUGGAGGACACCGGCAGCCCUUCUGUUUCCACGCUGGUGGCUGAAACGGUCCGGAUCCUGAGGACUGCCCCUGGAUUCAGCCUGCAGGCUGUGCGCUCUCGGCUCUUCAGCAUGUGAGAGAGGAGGCUGCACGCCCCAAGAGCUGGCUGGCUGCGCUGCUGCAGCUGUGCUCAGGGCUGACCCCAGCUCCGGCCCUCGGGGUCAGCCCUCCACCCCGCACGUGCUCCUGGUCAGCCCCUCCGCUGGGCUUCCCCAAGAGACACAGCCCUCUUGCUUCACUGUGGAGGUGCUGAAGGAAGCCAGUGCUCCAUGAGCUUCACUCGCAAUAGAGAAGCCUGUGUAAUUUACUGUAUUUACUAAUAGAAAAUAAAUAUUGUCUCUAUUACUGAUGC
rnacentral:lncRNA from 1 species